UUUUGACAUCCAUUGAGUCUCAAGAUUCAUUCAUCUCGUGAGUAGCUACCAUGGCAACCGCUAGGCAGAAAUACAUCGAUCGUAUUUUUCUGUUUUUUCCAACAAACGACCGGAAAUCAACAGCAUACCUAGUGUAACGUGAACGGGAUAAUCAGAAUUUUUGGUGUAGUGUUUUCCAAGUGUCAUCGAUUGCAGAAACAUAGGACCUCAGUUAAUAAGAGAUCAAUCAGUGGCUAACCACGAUGAGCGAUAAUUCUGCUGAAUAUGAGCGUAGAAUCAAAACAUGAACAGCCAUAAAGGUAACGCUUCAUGAUGCCAUAACAUCCACCUAAGCCUCAAACGACAAUGUUGCAUGCAAAGGUUGCAUGCAACAAACUGAGCGAUACAUGCUACUUUGUAACACUAAUAAUUAUCGCCAUCAGCCUGGUCUCGCCAUGCCACCACUCGGCGCCCCAUUCCCGAAAGGAUAAACGCAGCGUGUUUUUCGUCAAAUACAACUCCAGCGAACGAAUGCUGAAGGCAGGUUCUGAGAAACCGUCCAUUAAGACCAAGGAAGAGGAUGCCCCUCGCACCAGGCCACACUUUAGUGUGUCUAAAAAUAUGAAUGUUGCUUUCGAUCCCGCAAAGUACACAUGCGACGAGCCGAGCUCAACCGAUUGUAGCAACAAAACAAAUAUUUUUAAGUCGAAAGUAAUCUCCGAAUUUCGCAGGGUACUUAAGGAAUCAUUCGAGGAAAACGAUUUCUACCAUGUAAAAUAUGAGAAGGUGAAAAGUAAAGAAUUUAGCCCCCCCUAAUGGAAAAGGCUGCGCACGCCUAUGACAAUUAGUAUUAUAUAAUCGUUUUUUAUCAUUUAUAAAAAAAUUUAAAUUUAAUUUUGAAGAAGAGAAAAAAUCGCUCUCAUUUUUACUGAUUUUUUUUGUUUUAUUGUUUAUUUUUCUAUAGUUUUUGAAAACAAUGACUCGCAAAUAUAAUUUGCGCACAGUCACUGCUACAACAGUAACGUUGCGUGUUACUAAUGUAUUACUGGUCAGACAGAUUUUUUCAUUUCAAUUUCCAACCCAUUUCGUGGUAUUUUAAACUCGAUUUUUCAACUUCACUCUUCCUAAUAAUAGCCCUUUUUCAAAAAUAUCGAAUAUCCAUUUUAAACCAUUU